rnacentral:misc_RNA from 1 species
AGGAACAGGGCAUGGUGGAUAGUGGUUGAGUCUAAUGAAGGUGGUUUGGUCUUCAAAGAAUCCAUGGAACCUAUCUGCCUUCAGGCCUAGACUCAGGGCAAUCAGCUCCAGCAACUUGAAACCUAGUUUUUCCAUUUCUUUAGCAUAUUCUUCACACACUUCCCUUAGUUCAGGGGGGUACUCAGGCCAUUGAUUGUACCAUUCAGUAACUUCCUUAUCAUCAGGCUCAUAUGAAGCAGGAACAAUAGUUGGAUUCUGCACAGCAAAAUCAAACACUUCUUUCCAGUCCCUUACAUUCUUGGUAUGCUCUGUGUCAUAAUAACCCAACACUCUCUUCUCAUCUCUUCUAAUCUUGAUUUUCUCCUCCUUAGGUUGAGCAAAAAAUUUUCUCGAUGCAUUGAAAAUCUUUUCUCGCUUUUCCAGUGGAACCCCAUGAUUGAUCACUUGAAAAAACCCCCAGUCUCUGCAUGCAUCGCCUAUCUUCUUUACAAGAUCCUCCAGGGAGGCAUCAGGAGAGCUCGGAAUGGAUAGAUCAAUUAGGGGUAUUCCCUGUGCUUCAACGUUUUGCAGGCUUGGCCUGUGUUCUAGAGCUUGGAAGAAGGCUGGAUCGACCUCUCCCAUGAUAAUGAUUUUGGAUUGGAUGAGAAUAUGAGGCUGAC